CCAGGACUGGCCAAAAAAAAAAAAAAAAAAAAAAGCAAAAAGAAAACCCUAAGAGUUUAGGACUUCAGGUUGACCCAGGGAAGGACAGAUAGGUCCAACACUGCCUAAGGCUCUGCCUUUCUGUGCCAGGGCUCCUCCCCAACUCUUCAUAGCAGCCAAAAUAGCAAUAGCGGAAAGAGGCGGGGUCCCAAACAAGCCAGCAGACACCAGGUACGUGCUGGGUACCCUAGCACCUGGAGAAAAGCUUUGAGAAGCCACAGGCCCAUUGUCUCGUCUGCAGCUGGUACCAUCCAUGCUAACGACUAGCCCCACAGCAAAGAAUCACCAUAUGACAAAUGUGGCCACUCUCAUGCUUAAGCACGUGACACAACUAGUCCUGGCCCUCUGGGUAUGGCCCAGGUGACUAGCUUCUGAAGGCCUGGCCUUAGGUUCUGGGAGUCAUAUGGACACAGACAUUGCCAAACAUCUACCAUCCCUUCUCCAAGCACCCUGAGGGGCUCAGUUUCCAGGGAGGGCUUUCUCAUAUUUCUGGGAGACCACAGGUCCCAUAGGACUUGGCCCAUCCACCAUUCUAAAAGUAAUAGAGCACCAGCCCGACAUCUUAACUGGGGUUAGAUCCAAAAGAGGAAUCAAGUUGUGGGCAGUAGGCAUUGUCCCCUGGGGAGACCAUUGGGGUUCUCCAGGGCAAGGUCUAUGGCCUUCCCUGUAGGAAGGAGGUUUGGCUGUGUGAGGCUGAUGCAGACUAAGCUCAGGGAAGAGCCACAGGGUUGAGCAGCCCUCCCAGGAUCCCUCAGCACUGACUAGGGCAGACACAACUCAAGAGAGCAGUUCCACCCUGCGGUUUCCACGUGACAAUGUUACAUGGAGCCGGAGCCUGAGAACCUCUGACCAGAUGUUCCACCUCUAUAACCAGGGUCUUCAUUUGGCUUCAACGCUUAGACCCCUAUAGCCUUCUGCUUCCACAGGAAAGCUAGUGAGUACCUCUCACCAGCUUCCUUUCUACAUCUGGGGAAACCAAGGCAAGGAGGUGCCUGCACUUAACUGGCAGCAAAGUUAUUAGCCUUUGUUUCAUUCAAGUCAUGCCCACCGCUGAGGCAGACAGCAGCUCCUUGCUGAAUGGUGGAGGUAGCAAAUAGCUCCCUUGAGUGCUUCCCUGGGCAUCUUUGGAAGGCCAAAGGUCUACCGUCCUCCACAUGUGCCCAAGUGACAUCUGAAGUGAAGGGUUUCCAGCCAGCAAUUCCACAGAGCCAGGAGAGAAAGGGCUUCAAUGGCAGGCCCCGGGAUUGAGCAAGGGCAGCCAGCUGCAUGUGACCCACCAUCACUGCCGGCUCCCCGCACAUCCCACCCUCGUCACCCAGUUCCCAAGACACUCAAUCAACUGAACCGAUGGCAGGCAGCCCAGGCUGGGCUCUCCUGGUGCCCUGGUAAGGUUUUCCUCCCUACAUUUUCUACUUUGCAGUCUUUUCCGUGACAGUGUGCCCACACUGGGUUGGCAGAGCCCCAGUCCACACCAGCAUAACAGGCUUCCCCCGCAGAGCAGUUAGAGGAAGCUCCUUUUGGGCAUGGUCGGUUUUCCUUCCCUCUCCCAUCCCCUCUGUCCCUCACCUCAGCCAAAGGGCUGAGGGAGGAAUGGAAGGUCCAACCCUUUCCCUACCUCCACUAGCACGGGUAACAGGAGGCCUGUGCAGGCUCAGCUUCCCUUCCCCCUCCACUCCUCCUUCCUGCCUUUUGGAGGGCAAAGACUGGAUUCCCUUCCUCCCUCAGAGGAAGAAGGCUGAGAUCCAGAGGGAAAAGAGACCAGUGGGCCACAUGGCUCGGUCUUUUCACAAGCAAGCUCAGGGAGGACACAGAGAGGAGGCGGCUGUGGAGGAAUGUAAGCCUAUUGGGCACAGACCAUGCCAUCUGGGGCUGGCCCUGGGGCCGGCUGGGCCUUGUCCUCCACCUGCUCCAAUGUGUUUCCACCAACCAGAGGAAAACCCAUUUACUAGUUUUUCUAAUAAAUCAAUAAUGCUCCACAUUUGUUUUAGUAUUUUUAUUUGACUAACCUCCCUUUCCUUUUGAACUAAGCCUUAUAGAAGAGACAAGACAACCUGAUGCUAGCUGGUACCCUAGGGAGUCUUAUGGAGACCCUCAUGCAUUCAGUCAGCUUGAAGGCGUAUGGCACGGCAAAGGGAUUUCUAGGCAAGCCCCUGUGCCUCGGGUCCAUCUCCGGAGCAGGUUCUGUGUGGUCUGGGUGGGCGGGACGUAGGCACUGCCUGGUUUUACAAUGUUCUACAGGUGAUUCUAAUGGGCAGUCAGCAAGAACCACUGCACUGGAGCAGGAUUCCCAAGCGGUCUUAGUUGGGAUUUAAGGGCCACCUGGUGAAGGGUCAGCUAUGACUGCCAAAGGCCCAGCUCAGAAAAGUCCAUCAGGGAGUUUGAGACACAGAAACUCAUCCAGCUUCCCAAUCUGUAGAUGAGUAACAGUGUUAGGAAAUCCAGCUAGCUAGUGGUAAGGCUAGGACACAAAUCUGGGUCACUUUCCCAUUACACUUACGACUACUCGCCAUCCUAUCUCUUUUUAUACUGUGAAGGUGAGCACAAAAAGCUGCCACCGGCCUCCAACGCUCCCUUGACCUUGGGAGACUCAGUGGAGCCAUGUUCAGGUUGAGUCCACCUUCCUAGUUCUGAAGACCCACACAGGGACUGGCUGGGACUCUGCAGAAACACUGGGGCCCCACAGCCCUUGCUCCCUGGCUACAGUCAGAACAAACAGAACAAAACAAGGGUGGUCCUCCAUAGAGA